UGGGGAAUUUUGGACAAUGGGGGCAACCCUGAUCCAGCAAUGCCGCGUGAGUGAAGAAGGCCUUCGGGUUGUAAAGCUCUUUUGUCAGGGAAGAAACGGUAGUAGCGAAUAACUACUACUAAUGACGGUACCUGAAGAAUAAGCACCGGCUAACUACGUGCCAGCAGCCGCGGUAAUACGUAGGGUGCAAGCGUUAAUCGGAAUUACUGGGCGUAAAGCGUGCGCAGGCGGUUGUGUAAGUCAGAUGUGAAAUCCCCGGGCUCAACCUGGGAAUUGCAUUUGAGACUGCACGGCUAGAGUGUGUCAGAGGGGGGUAGAAUUCCACGUGUAGCAGUGAAAUGCGUAGAUAUGUGGAGGAAUACCGAUGGCGAAGGCAGCCCCCUGGGAUAACGACUGACGCUCAUGCACGAAAGCGUGGGGAGCAAACAGGAUUAGAUACCCGCGUAGUCCCUGAGCGGGCUGGCAAGGCGCAU
rnacentral:rRNA from 1 species